rnacentral:rRNA from 1 species
GCAAGUCGAGGGGCAGCAUUGGUACUUGUACCAGAUGGCGACCGGCGCACGGGUGCGUAACGCGUAUGCAACCUACCUUAUACUGGAGGAUAUCCUUUUGAAAAGAAGAUUAAUACUCCAUGGUAUCUAAUAGCUGCAUAGUUAUAAGAUUAAAGAUUUAUCGGUAUAAGAUGGGCAUGCGUGACAUUAGCUAGUUGGUAAGGUAACGGCUUACCAAGGCUACGAUGUCUAGGGGUUCUGAGAGGAUGAUC